GAUGAACGCUGGCGGCGUGCCUAAUACAUGCAAGUCGAGCGAACGGACGAGAAGCUUGCUUCUCUGAUGUUAGCGGCGGACGGGUGAGUAACACGUGGAUAACCUACCUAUAAGACUGGGAUAACUUCGGGAAACCGGAGCUAAUACCGGAUAAUAUUUUGAACCGCAUGGUUCAAAAGUGAAAGACGGUCUUGCUGUCACUUAUAGAUGGAUCCGCGCUGCAUUAGCUAGUUGGUAAGGUAACGGCUUACCAAGGCAACGAUGCAUAGCCGACCUGAGAGGGUGAUCGGCCACACUGGAACUGAGACACGGUCCAGACUCCUACGGGAGGCAGCAGUAGGGAAUCUUCCGCAAUGGGCGAAAGCCUGACGGAGCAACGCCGCGUGAGUGAUGAAGGUCUUCGGAUCGUAAAACUCUGUUAUUAGGGAAGAACAUAUGUGUAAGUAACUGUGCACAUCUUGACGGUACCUAAUCAGAAAGCCACGGCUAACUACGUGCCAGCAGCCGCGGUAAUACGUAGGUGGCAAGCGUUAUCCGGAAUUAUUGGGCGUAAAGCGCGCGUAGGCGGUUUUUUAAGUCUGAUGUGAAAGCCCACGGCUCAACCGUGGAGGGUCAUUGGAAACUGGAAAACUUGAGUGCAGAAGAGGAAAGUGGAAUUCCAUGUGUAGCGGUGAAAUGCGCAGAGAUAUGGAGGAACACCAGUGGCGAAGGCGACUUUCUGGUCUGUAACUGACGCUGAUGUGCGAAAGCGUGGGGAUCAAACAGGGUUAGAUACCCUGGUAGUCCACGCCGUAAACGAUGAGUGCUAAGUGUUAGGGGGUUUCCGCCCCUUAGUGCUGCAGCUAACGCAUUAAGCACUCCGCCUGGGGAGUACGACCGCAAGGUUGAAACUCAAAGGAAUUGACGGGGACCCGCACAAGCGGUGGAGCAUGUGGUUUAAUUCGAAGCAACGCGAAGAACCUUACCAAAUCUUGACAUCCUUUGACAACUCUAGAGAUAGAGCUUUCCCCUUCGGGGGACAAAGUGACAGGUGGUGCAUGGUUGUCGUCAGCUCGUGUCGUGAGAUGUUGGGUUAAGUCCCGCAACGAGCGCAACCCUUAAGCUUAGUUGCCAUCAUUAAGUUGGGCACUCUAAGUUGACUGCCGGUGACAAACCGGAGGAAGGUGGGGAUGACGUCAAAUCAUCAUGCCCCUUAUGAUUUGGGCUACACACGUGCUACAAUGGACAAUACAAAGGGCAGCGAAACCGUGAGGUCAUGCAAAUCCCAUAAAGUUGUUCUCAGUUCGGAUUGUAGUCUGCAACUCGACUACAUGAAGCUGGAAUCGCUAGUAAUCGUAGAUCAGCAUGCUACGGUGAAUACGUUCCCGGGUCU
rnacentral:rRNA from 1 species